rnacentral:lncRNA from 1 species
UCAUUGGUUCUACCUGGCACUGGAGCUGGCCUUUUUGGCUGUUUUAGUAUCUAGUUACCUACAACGCCCUUACCCUAAUGCUUCUCGUCUCAUUCAGCACCUUGCAGUCCUCUUUGGCGCUGUUGCCUUUAUACUGGCCAUCUCGAUGCCUCUUCUCCAUCCCUCACUGAAGCUGUUAUCCAACAAACUCUUUCUCAUUGCUGUUCUCAUAACAAUCCUUGCCAAUCGUUAUAUUAGUUUCCGGUAAUUUCUUUCUUUCUGGAAAUUUUUGCUGUAUUUUAUUUUUAGUUAUGUUUGGUUAAUAUAUACAAACAUUUGACACAGGGCUUAAUAUGGUGCCGAUCGUUUUCCCGCUUUGAUGACUCAUAAAUUGUCCGACCAAGUUAAGAUUAUGCUUUUCACUUUGCCUUUUAACUUUCAAAAUUCUCAGUUGUUCUGAGAAGUGUUGUUUUUUAUGCAUUCUACAAUGAAAUAGGGCAAACAGAGAUGAUUGUGGUGGCGGUGUUGUUGGAAAUAUGUUGAUCAUGUAAUUUCUUUAAUGACUAGCACUAUAAUUCGUUUGAAAUGAAAAGGAUGUUUUAUGAUUCCUGUGUCUAUACUUUUCCUUUAAUUGUGGAGAUCGUGUUAUGAUUUGACUUCUAUUUAUAUAUGUAUGUGAUUCUUUCUGUUCUGAAGCCUAUUAUUGGGUUUAUGGUGUUGCGGAAGCUCUACCAAAUUAAGGUAUAAAGAGUAAAUUAUUGUAUCUAAAAUUGCAAAAUGGCAAUUCUCAGGAAAUAUUUGGUGAGGUACACUGGCCUGCUUAAGUAUCAAUUUCCUAGACAGAAUUACCUUUAUAUGCAAUUAAUUGCACAAUAACUCACUACAAAUAUACCAACAAAUAUAGCUACUAAAUAGACAAUAAAAUAGAACACCAGAAUUUAACGAGGUUCGGCUAAUUUUCCUACGUUCUCCGACACUACCGACAACUUAAUAUUUCACUAGAAGAAAUAUUACAAAUAGAGAGAAGAAAGCAAAUUAUGAUACUUUUGCUUGGUGUGAUUGAAUUGAGAAGGUAGAAAGCUUAUUUAUAGCUCUCAAAACUUUCUCCAAUUCAUAAACCCACCGAUGUGGGAUUGUAAUUGUGCCAAAUAAUUCAACAAUUUUGGCUAUUUCAAAGUCAAUAAUUAAGGCUUGACUAUGAAUUCAACAAAUCUCCAUCUUGGCAUAAUUUCUAAUCCCACUAAAAAUACAAAUCUUCUCCCUCAAAAUUCGGUGGUGUCUUCAAAUGCGUUGUCAAGCGUCAAUCUUCAAGUUGUGCACAACAUUUAUCAAAUUCAAACAAUGUUGAAAUUUGAUAGUUGUCACAACCUUCGUAAGCAUAUCAGCAGGAUUCUCCUUGGUCUGAAUCUUUUGAAGUAGUAUCAUACUAUCUUCCAAAAUCUUUCUCACAAAAUGAUACCGUAUGUCGAUAUGUUUCGUCCUUGCAUGAUAAACCUGGUUCUUUGCUAAAUGAAUAGCACUCUGACUAUCACAAUGAACUUUGAAAGGCUUCUGUCUGAUUCCCAAUUCAUCAAGCAACCCAUGAAGCCAAAUUGCUUCCUUAACAGCCUCCGUAACUGCCAUAUACUCCGCCUCUGUAGUAGACAAAGCAACCGUUGACUGUAAGGUAGACCUCCAACUGACUGGUGCCUUAGUAAGUGUAAACACAUACCCAGUCGUUGAUCAACGUGUAUCUUGAUCAUCUGCAUAGUCGGAAUCACAAUAUCCAACUGUGCCUUGACCAAUCUUCUUAUCCCGCUCAAAUACUAAUCCAACAUCUACGAUAUUCAAAAUGCACCGUAAAAUCCAUUUCACAGCUUGCCAAUGCUCCUUACCAGAAUCAUACAUGUACCUGCUCACAACUCCAACUGCUUGUGAAAUGUCAGGACUUGUAUACACCAUAACAUACAUCAAGCUAUCCACCGCAUUUGCAUAUGGUACAUUUGCCAUAUAUUCUCGUUCUGCAUCAUUCUUUGGAGAUAACGAUGCACUGAGCUUGAAAUGAGGAGCAAGUGGAGUACUAACAGGUUUGGUCUUUUCAUUCAUGCCAAACCUCUUUAAUACUUUAGUAAGAUACUCUUUCUGAGUCAAAUAAAGCCUCCCCAAUCUUCUAUCUCUGCUUAUCUCCAUGCCGAGAAUUUUCUUAGCUUCGUCGAGAUCCUUCAUUUCAAACUCUCGACUCAAAUGAGAUUUUAAUUUUUCAAUCUCACCUUGAUCCUUGGAAGCUAUCAACAUAUCAUCAACAUAAAGAAGAAGAUAUAUGUAGGAUCUAUCUCGUAACUUGCACAAAUAUACACAGUCAUCAUAUUUGCUUCUUGUGUACCUCUACCCCAUCAUAAACUUGUCAAAUCGCUUGUACCAUUGCCUUGAAAAUUGCUUCAAUCCAUACAACGAUUUGUCAAACUUGCACACCAUCUUUUCUUUACCAAUAACUUUGAAUCCUUCUGCCUGAGUCAUGUAGAUUUUCUCUUCCAAGUCACCAUGUAAAAAUGCAAUUUUUACAUCUAAUUGGACAAGUUUCAGAUCCAAUUAUGCUACCAAAGCCAAUAAAAUUCUGAUGGAGGAAUGUUUCGCGACUGGAGAAAACACUUCGUUGUAAUCAAUUCCCUUCUUCUGAGCGUAGCCUUUAGCCACCAAUCUUGCUUUAUAGUGAACACCAGAUUUGUCAGGAAAUCCUUCAUUAUUUGCAUAUAUCCACUUGCACCCAAUUGCCUUCUUUCCCUUUGACAGAUUGACAAGUUGCCAAGUCUGAUUCUUAUAAAGGGACUGCAUUUCUUCUUCCAUUUUCCUUUCUCUGAACUUUGGACAGCUUCAAGAUAAGUGGUAGGAAUUUCAUCUAUUGCAAUUGCAGAUGCAUUAGCCACCAUAUUAACAUACCGAGCAGGUACUUUGAUAUUCUUCUUUGGCUUACUCAAAUCUGGUGUUCAGGCCACUGGGCCAUUUUUGCCUUUCAUUUGGGCCAAAAGCUCCAAAAGCCCGACGAAAAAUCCAAGGAAAAUGCACGGGCCAAUCCAUAAUCUUACCCAAACAAAUCCAACCAAAAGGGUGGGCUUUUACCUCCUAAGCCCAAGCUAGAAACCCAAAUAAAUAAACUAAAGCCUAUUCGUAAAAUCCAACCAAAAUGAACCAGGCUUUUCUACCAAAAAAUAACCAAAUCAAACCACAACCCAAAUCACUAACUAUUUUACCAAAACCCAAAAAGAUAAAAGUCAAUGAAAUUUAUUAAAGAAUAAUUAUACUUUAAAUCCCAGAAAUAAUUUACUUAAAAAUGCAUUUAAACAUGGAAAAUAGGAUCAGAACUCAAUAGGGGCAGAAAUAGUUCAAUUGCAAAAGUUUUUGGGCUAUAAUGGAGUUAAGGAAAAGUUUGGGGGUCAGAACACAAUUUCAGAAAAUUUCCAUGCAUUCUUCUUUGAUGCAUUCCUCUGCAACUUUUGGGUUUUCAUACAGCAAUUUCGCAUGGCCAAGAAUUAGAGAUUCGGACUCAAAAACAUGAACCCAUGUGACCCAAAAUUUACCAAACAAAGUCUAAUACAGCAUUUCACCAAGAAAUCUGACAUAAUAAUCCACAAAAAUGAGCCAGAAAAUUGCUGAAAAAUUAGAAAAAGAAGAAAGAACAGAAGAAACAUGUUCUGCAAAAACAUCUUGGCAGCUUUGAUGCCAAUACAAGUUUAAAUGAAGCAAGAGAGGUUGAAAUACUUCACCUUUAACAACUUCGAGGGCCAAAAUCGCGUGUCAAACUUCGAGGAAGGAAACUCCAAGAUCUGUCGCUGGAGAUGCAAGAAUGCCGAACCCAACAACUUCAAGCCCCUAUUCAAGGUAGUAAAGAUGUUCGUUUCAGGAAAUUUUCUAAAUAAGAGUUCUUCUCCUAGGAUCGUAGAUGAUGUAGAAAGAAAAAUCUCCCCAAAAGGAGUUGUAAAGAAGGAGAAAACUGAGAUUGAAGGUUGCUAAUCGGCCAACCUAGUCAAGCGAAAUUUUUGCUGAAAUUUGCUCUCUUUUUUUCUCUUUUUGCUGUCCUCUCUUCUAAUGAAUGUGUUUUCAUCCAUUUUAUAUGGCACAACCCAAAACCCUUGGAGCAACGAUGGGGAUGGGUUAGACUUUAGGGAUUGAUUAUGAACCAUUAGAUGAUGGAUUUUGGAUAAGAAUUGGUAGUUGAUCUGGCACUUGUACUAGAAGACUUGAAAAGGAAGAAAAUGGAUCUGGAUUCAAGUGGGAAUUGGACCCAAAAUGGUAGCUGCAAUCUAGUACAUGGCCUCGUCAAUGGCCACCGAGCAGCGAAGCUUCCCUGUUCCUCAUUGUGGAAACAACUGUCUGUUCUACUUUCCCUUCCUGACCAACACCUUUUAUUUCCGCGAAAAAGAGAGGCGCAAGGCAGAAAGCAAGAGGCAGGACUCUAUGAAAAUUAUUCCUCUCACUCCCUAUUACUCACGGGAUCUUUCUUCCUUUUUUUUUCCCAAAAACAGAGGCAAAGGCAGGACGGUGGAGAUGGGAUUGAAACCAAUUUUUGUUGGCUAUUGCUAAGGAAAAAUGGAGAUGGGAUUGGCUUUGUUGAGUUUAUAGCCUCACAAUUUGCUUGUUUUGUUUCAACUCUUUAGCUUUUUGGAGGGAAAAAAUUUUUUUUUUUUGAAAAAAAUUGAGAUUAGGACUGACAGUGGAGAUGUGAUUGAAAGUAAUUUUUGUUGGCCGUUGGAAUAACUAUUCAGAAGAUGUUUGUAUAGCCUCUCAAUUUGCUUCAUAUACGGUUUGUUUCAUCUGAAUAAUUGGUGGGGUAUUGAACUGUACUAUGCCUGCUAAUCAUAAUCUGGUAGGCAUACUACUUGAAACACGUAACUUCAAAGGGGAACUCUGACUUAUGGCAUGCCUAGUCAUACAUAAGAACUUCCUGAUUGUUGGUCUUUCUCUCCAUGUCUUGUUAUUGAAUCAUAUUAAAAGUAAGUUCUGAGUUUGAUAGGUUUGUUAUUGAAGCAUAUUAAAAGUGAGUUCUGAGUUUGAUAGGUUUUUCUGAUAACACUCAGGGGGUUGGGAAUCCUAUGUGAUCUACAGGCAGAACCAGCCAGCACUCCAAAAUCAACAUCUAAUUGUUAGUUUUUCCUAAACAGGUAAUAUGUGAGAACCUGUUACAACACUGGUAUGCUGUAUAAACAUUACAGCUACAGUAACUGCAUAAGUAAAUUCCAUAGAUAGUGAUGUCAUAUUGAAAAUAUCUCAUCUCAUGUGUUGCCUUUUCUGAUUAAAAUGAGCUUUGAUUAGAUUCUGUGUCACAGAUAGUUAGCCAAUGGACACCAGUAAUAAGCAUGGUUCGAAGACUCGGCCGGGACGAGACCGUGACGAAACGUUUCCGAGAUACGUGACAGGCCGAGAUGUCACCGUGAAGGGUUGAAACGGCCGAAUCACACCGAGUCAUCCCGAGUCAACUUGAAUUUUUAUUAUUUUUACUAAUUUUUUAAUUACUUUUGUUCAUCAUAUUUUUUACAAUUUUUAGAAUAUUAAAUAUUUCACAAAUUCGCGUUUCGGCGAGACCGCGACCGAUAUGCCGAAACCGAUGUGGAACGGUCCAGGCCGCAACCGCAACCGCUACCGCGACUUUGAACCAUGGUAAUGAGAGUUUUGGAUCUCUUUCUUAUAGCAUGAAAAUUUAAGAUAAAGUACACGCAAACAUAUAGCAGUAGGCCAGACUGAAAUUCUCAGCAAGAAGAAGUUACCUCUCUGCAUUAGCAGUUGAGUCAGCAUAACUAGAAGAUACAUCUUUUUUGUAGUCUUUGGUUCCUGAGAAAGGUAGAAGCGGAUCUAGAGCAGGUUUAUGCAUAGAGGAUCUGAUUGUUCAAUGAAUUUGAACCAUGUGGUUUGGCCAUAAAAUUCUUGAAGAAUAAGGAGACGAAUCAGUUUAGAUUACGAGUGUUCAGAAUUGUCUGAACAGCUUGACUUAUUCUGCUGUGAGAGGGGAUGCAAUUGGUCAUUUUCACCAUUUAAACGUUUGGUGUAAAUUGAAUGUCAAAGUAUUCUAAAAGAAUAUUAUUUUUUAUUAAGUUGAUCUUGAGAUUAAAAGAAAAUAAUAACACAGUCAAAUGAUUUUAUAGAGUUAUAAAGUAUUAGAUAUAAAAAGAAUGAACAAUAGGGAGAAAUGUAAUGGAGAGGAUCUUAACUCAUUGUACACAUUGCUAUAAUGAACAACACAUAAAAUUAUUAUUAUUAUUGUUGUUGUUGUUGUUAUUAUUAUUUGUUCAUGAAACAAUUUUAAAAUGUUGGACUCAACACGUCAAAUAUGAACACACCAUUUGUGUGAGGACCCGUAAAUCUUCCUUAUUUCAUAAUAUUUUUAUUUUAUUUUCUCGCAUGCAUUUUCUUCAUUAUACCCUAUUAUAUUGAUUUUCCAGAGAUUUUUAUAAGUGAGUAGAGUUUUCAAAUCAUUUUCCUAGUUUAAGUUAGUUCAUAUUAAGUUUGAAGCGUAUUAUGGAUGUGGGGCCCGCUACUGCGUUAAGUACGAUAAAUUUGUGCCGAUUAAUUGAAGUUUUGUAUCAAGAAAUAUUAUUUUACAAGGUGUUAGGAAAUAAUUAGAGGUUACCUAGAGGGAUUAACCAUUGGAAGACAACAAGAUGAGGAUUAACCCUUGGAUGCCAUUUGUCCUUGAAACAUUGGACCUUGACUUUGACUUGGACUUGUCUUAACCUUUACUAAACCAAAUUUUGACCCAAUUUCUUUCCAUUUUCAUUGUCUUGGCCGAAAUUUAUGGAGAGGAAAGAACAAGAGAGAGUUUCUUCAACUUCAACUUCAAUUCUUGCUCAAAUCUUGAGUUUCAACCGUUGAAUUAUCAAAUUACUCCAUCCAAGUUGCUUACUAAGGAGGAUUAAAGCUUCUAGUGGAGGGAUUUGUGAAGGAAAAACCCUAAGUUAUCAUCUUUCUUGAGGUGUCAAGGUACUUUGCUUACAAACUUCCUCUUUACUUCAAUUAAUUGAUAAGUAGUGGCUUAUAGUUGUUAUAGAUGCUACUUUGCGGAAGAUUUCAUAUAUUAAAGUGAAGUUAGCUAAAUUUCUGAUUUUUUUUUUGGGAUUUUUCUGCUUUCAUAUGAUGAUUAUGGCUGGCCUUGGAUUGAUGGCUCUAAAUGGUGUUAAAUGGAUCCCUUGUGCGUUAAUUGCGGUUAUUUGUGGAAAAUUUCAGCUUGUGCGGAAAAUUUCAGCUUUAGGUUCCAAUCUGCCCUGUUCUGGCCGGUUUUAUUUGAGCAUGUUAGAGGCCGAAUCAGGCUUAGGUUAAAACAUACAAGUUGUAAAAAAUGGUGUUAAAUAGUUUCCUGUAAAAUUUCAACUCAAUCGGAGUACUAUAGUCUGUGAAAUGACCGAAAUACCCUUGACUGCCCAUGAACCUUGUUUUGCGGACAGUUUUCUGUUUUCGUGGAGUUUUCCAUUUUUUACCAUGAAAAUACAUGAUUUGGCUUUGGAGGUCUUCAUAAGAAAUGUAGGUAUAUGUCUUGGCUUCGAAAUGCCAUAAGAUUCGUUUCAAUCCGAUAAGGGUAGCUUCAGUUAUGGAUAUUGUGCCGAAAGGUGUAUUUGAUAGUUUAUGAUGUGUAUGUGGUUAAUUUGAGAUGAAUUGGUGUUGCUUGUAGGAUGGAAAAGUAAGGAAAUUAAGGGGAUAUGCUGUCCGAUCUUUGAAAGAAUUUGAUUGCUUUGAGUUUGAGUUGAAGGGUUGGACUUAAGCAAGGCAAUGAUAUAUGAUGGAUGGUUCCUGAGCUGUGGUUGAUGAGUGACCCAAACUAUUUUAAAGCUACUUAUGAACUGUUUCUUGCAUUAUCUACUCGAUUGCAUAUCAUGUGUGCUUACAUGUGAGUUCAUGACAUGUUUUGGCUCAAAGGAGUACUUGGAAUUCGUGUGCUUAGAACCAACGUCUCCACCACUGUUUACUUGGAGCAAUUGGCUCCCUAUCCCUGUUUCACUGUUAACUGAUCAAUUUGAGCGUUAGAUGUUUAAGUACAUUGAUUUCACUGACUCACGAGAACAAUAAACGUACAUUUGAUUACUGAUUCAUGACAUCAUUGAAAUGAACUAUUAUGAAACUGAUUUGAUUACUGAUUUGACUGGUUACUCGCGGAGCUUCUAGCUCACCCCAAAUAUUUUAUUCCCCUCCACAGGGCUUGAGGCGAAGGAAGGGCUUGUAGUACUUAUUCAUGUAACUGGAUGGAUUAUCUCAUGUAUAGUUUGUUUUAGGUUCAUUUUGUGUAAUAGUUGGGCUAGUGUGACUGUAUGGAAUUGAAGUGGAUGUAUGUGUACCUUCCACGCUUAGAAUUAGUUUCCGCUUCACUUAUGAUAUGUAAUUCUUGGAGAAUUUGAUGUAAUAUUUGAGAUUUAUAUUGUAAUUUGUUUGAGGACUGUAGUGAGUGAGUGAGUCCCGGCGAGAGUUGGACAGGCGAUCCGCCGAACCCUUUGGUUCACCUUAGGGUGAGAUAGAGUUGUCACAAUUUGGUUGAUAGCAGUAGUAGCGUGUGAACAAUGGUCCUAAAUUAAAACCCGAAUUUGGAUUUAUACAAGAGCACAGCAUUACCUUCCGAGAUAGGCACAAAAUAACACCUGGGUAUUUACAGGAUUACUAGUCGAGUCCCCACGGGUGACACAAUGAACAUGCAAUGGGUAUUUCUGGUGAUCGGAGUUUCUUUUGCUGCCAUUAGCACUUCCUGCAAGCUGCCCAAAUUCCUGGCCCUCUUCCUGCAAUAUUUCAUUGGUUCUACCUGGCACUGGAGCUGGCCUUUUUGGCUGUUUUAGUAUCUAGUUACCUACAACGCCCUUACCCUAAUGCUUCUCGUCUCAUUCAGCACCUUG